rnacentral:lncRNA from 1 species
UUCGCUCGUUCCGUCCUCUCGCAGCUCUGUCCUCGCGUGGAGCUCACGCUAGGGUUGCCACCGCCUCGCCUGGAGCUCGCCUCGCCGCCUCGCCUGGAGCUCGCGCUAGGGCCAGGGUCCUCUCACAGCAGCCUCUGUCCUCGCCUAGAGCUCGCGCUAGGGUUCCUCUCGCAGUCGUCGCUGUUGACCGUCCUCGCCUGGAGCUUGCGCUAGGGUUCCUCUCGCAGUCGUCGCUGUUGAGGUCAGACUCUGCCUUCUCCUCUCGCCCUCUAGCUCUCUCUCUCCCAUCUCCUCUCGCCCUCCAGCUCUCCCUCUCCCGUCUCCUCUCCUCGCUCCGAACACUGGCUCAUCCCGUCCCGAUCUGCCCGUGCUGGCGCUGCCGCCUCAUGCCUGGUUCGCUUUCUGGUUAGAGACGUCGCGGCGUGAUGUUUGGAGGAAGGGCGGGAUUCGGCGGCGGGGCAUUUAGUUUUGGGUGGUCUGAUUUGGCUAUAACGUGUGAUUGUCUUCUUCAGAGCUCAUUGUUAUGGGCUGGGUACUGGUUAUGGAUCUGAAUGGGCUCAUAGAUCCAAGCGAAUUAGGAAUGCCCAAUUCUUGCCUAGCAGGAUGCGUCGAUUGGCUCACAUUUGAGGCUCGGGAUCCGCUGAUUGGUUCACUUUUGAGCUCGAAACCAGAUGAGGAGGUGCCAUACAAUUGUCGUAGGAUCAUACUGCAGUCUGCAGCCUAUCACAUACAUUUCUUUGUAUUAGACUUCCGUGUGGGGCAAACCUUUGGGAAAGAGAAGAGCUAGAUCAUGCAGAAGAGGAGAAGCAUUGAUCAAAUUGUUCAGAAAAGAGUACUCCGGUAAGGAGCUAGUCCGCCUCCUGAUAUCUGAGAUCAUCUGUAAUCCUCUGUUUCUACGCAUGUCGUUGGCUUGAUCGUCUCCUGAUUCAAGCUCGUGACACAUUUAAAUGGAAGUGGUGUACCUUCUCUUCAUGAAUUUUUUACAUUUACUUUGCCAUCAAACAACCAAGUUGUUUUUGGUCUGUUUUGUUUACAAGUAUUUGCUAAACAGAGAGCUAUUUUGUUUACAAGUAUUUUGAUUGUACACAUGAUCUGGUGUUUUUGGUGUUUUUGUAAAUUGAAUCGAGAAUUGAGCUGUUUUGUUUACAAGUGUUUUUGGUGUUUCAGAACUGAAAACAGAAUGAGUGGCUGCAAUGGACGCUGGUAAACUGCUAAUGCAUACUUGUAAACUACAAUUUUGUAAAGUGUUCUUGUGCCUCAGUAUCAAUAUUAUAAUUGUAAUUUAUAAUUUUGUAAAGGAUAUGUAAA